rnacentral:tRNA from 1 species
GCGGGUAUCGUAUAAUGGCUAUUACCUCGGCCUUCCAAGCCGAUGAUGGGGGUUCGAUUCCGCCUACCCGCUCCA